rnacentral:rRNA from 1 species
UACGUAGGGUGCGAGCGUUGUCCGGAAUUAUUGGGCGUAAAGAGCUCGUAGGCGGUGUGUCACGUCGUUCGUGAAAACCUGCAGCUUAACUGUGGGCGUGCGGUCGAUACGGGCAUCACUGGAGUUCGGCAGGGGAGACUGGAAUUCCUGGUGAUAGCGGUGAAAUGCGCAGAUAUCAGGAGGAACACCGGUGGCGAAGGCGGGUCUCUGGGCCGAUACUGACGCUGGAGGAGCGAAAGCGUGGGGAGCAAACAGG